rfam:Dipodomys ordii contig_61513, whole genome shotgun sequence.
CAAACGGCUCUUUUCAGAGCCACCUCAUAUUUUCACCAAAAGAUAG